GAUGAACGCUGGCGGCGUGCCUAACACAUGCAAGUCGAACGAACAGACGAGUGCUUUCCUCCGCUGACGAUUGCCGCACGGGUGUGUAUUACAUGUGGACAACCCACCUAGAAGACUGUGAUAACUUCGAGAACCCGGUGAUAAUACCGGCUAUUUUCUUAAACCACAUGGUGACAUAGUGAAAUACGGCUUUGCUGUUACCCAUAGAUGGAUCCGCGCCGGAUUAGCUAGUUGGUCAGGUAACGGCUUACCAAGGCAACGAUGAGUAGCCGACCUGAGAGGAUGACCAGCCACACUGGGACUGAGACACGGCCCAGACUCCUACGGGAGGCAGCAGUAGGGAAUGUUGCACAAUGGGCGAAAGCCUGAUGCAGCAAGGCCGCGUGUGUGAAGAAGGCCUUCGGGUCGUAAAACACUUUUGUUAGGAAAGAACAAAUUUGUAAGAAAAUAGGCAGGGCUUGACGGUACCUGAAGAAAAAGCACCGGCUAACUACGUG
rnacentral:rRNA from 1 species